CCUACGGGUGGCAGCAGUGGGGAAUAUUGGACAAUGGGCGAAAGCCUGAUCCAGCCAUGCCGCGUGUGUGAAGAAGGCCUUCGGGUUGUAAAGCACUUUCAGUGGGGAAGAAAGCCUUGGGGCUAAUACCCUCGAGGAAGGACAUCACCCACAGAAGAAGCACCGGCUAACUCCGUGCCAGCAGCCGCGGUAAUACGGAGGGUGCGAGCGUUAAUCGGAAUUACUGGGCGUAAAGCGCGCGUAGGCGGUCUGAUAAGCCGGUUGUGAAAGCCCCGGGCUCAACCUGGGAACGGCAUCCGGAACUGUCAGGAUAGAGUGCAGGCGAGGAAGGUAGAAUUCCCGGUGUAGCGGUGAAAUGCGUAGAGAUCGGGAGGAAUACCAGUGGCGAAGGCGGCCUUCUGGACUGACACUGACGCUGAGGUGCGAAAGCGUGGGUAGCAAACAGGAUUAGAUACCCGUGUAGUC
rnacentral:rRNA from 1 species